GACGAACGCUGGCGGCGUGCCUAAUACAUGCAAGUAGAACGCUGAAGGAGGAGCUUGCUUCUCUGGAUGAGUUGCGAACGGGUGAGUAACGCGUAGGUAACCUGCCUGGUAGCGGGGGAUAACUAUUGGAAACGAUAGCUAAUACCGCAUAAGAGUAGAUGUUGCAUGACAUUUGCUUAAAAGGUGCAAUUGCAUCACUACCAGAUGGACCUGCGUUGUAUUAGCUAGUUGGUGGGGUAACGGCUCACCAAGGCGACGAUACAUAGCCGACCUGAGAGGGUGAUCGGCCACACUGGGACUGAGACACGGCCCAGACUCCUAAGGGAGGCAGCAGUAGGGAAUCUUCGGCAAUGGACGGAAGUCUGACCGAGCAACGCCGCGUGAGUGAAGAAGGUUUUCGGAUCGUAAAGCUCUGUUGUAAGAGAAGAACGAGUGUGAGAGUGGAAAGUUCACACUGUGACGGUAUCUUACCAGAAAGGGACGGCUAACUACGU
rnacentral:rRNA from 1 species